rnacentral:tRNA from 1 species
UCCAGAAUGGCUGAAUGCUUAAGGCCUCAGACUUGAGAUCCAGUGAGUUUCUAUCCUCUGUGGGUUCAAAUCCCACUUCUGGUA